rnacentral:lncRNA from 1 species
GGGUCAGAAGAGAGUAGCUUGCAUCACUUUCUCUGGCCAGUGUUUGCUGGCCUGUUUGUCUCCCCAUGAGGGGGCUGGAGGCCCUGGAGAGACAGUGAGCAGUCAGCAGGGGGAGAGCUCAGACCCUGGAGAAACAUUCCUGGGGUCUCAGCUACGUGCUCAUUCAGUAAUCACUGACUGGCAGGCACUCUGCUACCAUGGAGGGGCUGUCAUGGUAACAAGACAAGCAUGGUCCCUGCUCCUAGAAGAUAGGAAUUUGAUGAAUGAAUUAAAAAUGACUUUAGUUCCCGCUGUGGCUCAUUGGGAUGAGGAUUCGGGUUCAAUCCCUGCCCCCUCUCAGUGGGUUAAGGAUCCAAUGUUGUUGUGAGCUGUGGCAUAGGUCGCAGACAUGGCUCAGAUCUGAUAGUGCUGUGGCUGUGGUGUAGGCCAACAGCUGCAGCUUCAAUUUGACCCCCUAGCCUAGGAACGUCGUAGGCCACAGGUUCAGUCCUAAAAAGCAAAAAAAAAAAAAAAAAAGGAAGCUAAUAUUUAUGAGUGUUUACUAUGUGCCAGCCACUGUGCUGUUUUAUCACUGCACUGUUUCAUGCAUUGUUUGAAGAUGAGUUGGUAAAUGACAAAGCUAAAGAUUCAAACCAUAUCCAUUUUUGUCUAACUCUAAUGCCCAAACCAAUGAAAAGAGAAUAUGUAGAAAAUAUGUAACAUGCUUAGCACUUAGCAUGAUGGUAGAAUGGAAGAGAUCUGGAUUUGAGUCGGAACUCAGGGCUGGAGUCCUGCAUCUCCCCCUCUGCGAUGAUGGACUGAAAGGGUGAGGCCGUGUCAAGGCAGAAGAAGCUCCAUGAGGCAGGGCCAAGGAGGUUCACUACUUUGCACUUAACGUUUGGUACAAGGAAGGUGCUAAAAUUCAGUUACAUUGGACUGACUUAAAAAAAAAAAUCCUGGGAUGCUGCAACUUGCAUGAACCUUGAAAACACCGCGCUAAACACAAUGAAGCAGACACGAAAGGCUGGAUGUUUAUGAUUCCACUUAAAUGAGGUACCUGCGAGAGUCACGUACAUAGAGAAAGAAGGUACACUGGAGAUUACUGGGAGGUGGGAAGGAGGGGAGCAUGAGGUGUUAUCCUUGAAUAGUUGCAGAGCUUCCGUUUGGGAUGAUUAAGAAGUUCUGGAAGUAGGGGAGUUCCUGCCAUGGCUCAGCAGUUAAUGAAUCCAUGAGGAUGCAGGUUUGAUCCCUGGCCUCGCUCGGUGGGUUAAAGGUGCAUCGUUGCUGUGAGCUGUGGUGUAGGUCGUAGACAAGGCUCGCAUCUUGCGUUGCUGUGGCUGUGGCAGAGGCCAGCAGCAAUGCUCCAUUUCGACCCCUAGCCUGGGAACCCCCAUAUGCCAUGGGUGUGGCCCUAAAAAGCAAAUAAAUAAAUAAAUAAAUAAAUAAAUAAAUAAAUAACUUCUGGAAGUGGAUAAUGUCCCCAGCCAGGGAUCUAAUCCAAGCCACAGUUUCAACCUACGCCAGAGCUGCAAACUACACCACAGCUGCAGCAAUGCCAGAUCCUUAACCCACUUGCCACAGUGGGAACUCUGGUUGCUCUCCUUAAAAAUGAUUUAGGAGUUCCCACUGUGGCUCAGCAGUAACAAACCCUACUAGUAUCCAUGAGGAUGCAGGUUCAAUCCCUGGCCUCACUCAGUGGGUUAAGGAUCCGGUGUUGCCAUGAGCUCUGGUGUAGGUCACAGACAUGGCUCAGAUCUGGCAUUGCUGUGGCUGUGGUGUAGGCUGGUAGCUACAACUCCAAUUUGACCCAGCCUGGGAACUUCCAUAUGCCGCGAGUAUGGCCCUAAAAAAACAAAACAAAACAAAAAAUGGCUUAAACUGAUAAGUUUUGUUAUGUAUAUUUACCACAANUUAAAAAUAAUGUUAUUUAAAUUAAAAAAGCAAAUAUCCUGAGAAACCAAGCACUGUCACAAGAACUUAAAAAACAGAGGUGACAACCCUGCAACAUACACAUGGAGAAAUCAUUCUUUGGUGACAUGAUGUGGCUGAUUAACUACUGAUACUGAUUCUCACUAACAAUAAUAAUAAUACCUUCCCACCUGUCAAGGCACUAACUACUCUGUAUACUUUCCGACCACCAGAAUAGGAGUUAUUACGUCUCUUUUACACAGAGGAGGAGAGCUUACGUGCUUUCCUGUCAGCUCCCUUUUGGAAAGGCCUGGACUUGAACUCAAAUCUCAGAUGGAACCAUCCCAGCAGGCUCCUCGGGGAGCUCCCUUAGGCCAAGCCGACCCUGAUUUGAUGGACUAGUAGCUGUCAUUUGAAGAUGAGCUUUGAUGAGAUUGCAAGGUCUCCAGCGCCUGCAGACUGAGUUUGGUUUGGAAACAGUCACGGUUGAGAAAACAGGAAAGCUCUAAGCAAAUCCCUGUGCUCUCUGGGCCAAUCAGAUCUUCCACUGACGCGAAUGCUCUACGAAUGAUGGUGCGCAAGACGUGGGAUUUCUUUUGAGCUUAGGAGGAAGACUGGCUUUUCCCAUAUGGUCCAGUCCCAAGCUGUACCUUCUCCAUCCCUGAGAAGCAGGUGCAUAUGUGAAGCUAGGCCGUCUGGGGCCACUGCCCUUCAUUCACAUCCGCCUAGAGCUCUGACCAGACUGAACACCAGCUUCAGUCCUUUGCCCUAAGACAGGCAUUGCCAUGAACUCCUGGUUGACAGCCACUGCCCCAAGGGAAGACUUCCUUGGGGAGAGAUUAAUCCGUUCUGUACUUAGCCCGUCUUGGUGGGCUGGUCUUUUCUGUUGCCUCUGUUGGCCCAGUGUACUGCUGAUCCUAUGACUCAGGAAUACACGCACACUGAAGGAAAGAAGGAAGUAAUUCCUCUUCCAGACUCGCCCCCACCUCUUCCCUUUGCUGCUCUUAGAAGAGCCUGGAGGAUCUAGGAAAGGUUUGCAGUGUGGUGUUCAGUGGCAUAAAUCAGUGACGAUAUUAAACAAAUAUUGCCAGAGAUUGGUGAGGGCCCGGACCCCCCCAUAGGCCAAUAAAGGGGACCUUGUGGUUCUGGAUCUCGGUUAACCUACCAGUGGUAUCCUGUCCUCAGUGAGGGGACUUGUCAGUGUGUCUCAGUACAGCUGGACUGCUGUGGCCAUGGGAAAUGGACUUUGCAAGGGGCUCUCUAGCCUGAGGAUGCUCCAUGGCAGGUGGUGUGUGUGUGGGUGAGAGUCACCUCAUGCAUCAGAAAGCCGCUGGGCCUCCUUCCAUGAGAAGCGAACAGGAGCUGUCAGCAGAGGAUGACAAGAAAGUCACACACAGCAUACGAGAGAGUGCUUAGCCUAUCACGAGCAUUCGGUAAGUACUGGCUGUGGCUUUUCUUCUGGAUGUUACUAAGGAGGCAGCGUGUUCUCUGCCAGAUUAGAAAGGACCUACUCCCUGCUAGUCACAGUCUCAUAAAACAAAGGUCAGCAGUUUCUGAACAAAUUCGAUUGCAGCGUAACCUUUUCUCUUUCCUGGUUUUGUUCAUUUUAGACUCUUUUUAAAUGAAUGAUACAAGUAGUAUCUAUUAUAGAAAAAGUCACUACAGAGAAGUGCAAUGGCACAGAAAAUAAUUCACAAAUAGUUCUUCUGCCAAAGAAAGUGAGGCGAACAGUUUUGACAUUUUUAAUCAUAAUUCUGUCGAGGUGGUUUUUUUUUUUUUUUUUCUUUUUUCUUCUGCUGGGAUUUUUACUUAUUUUUAGAAGUAACAUGUUGUAUUACUCACAGCCCCAGCAGAAAACAAGGGAUAUACUUCUGUUGAGAACCUUGGAGAGAAUUUAGUAAAGUUACUGUUAAUAAGGGAGUGGGCAGGGUGGACGGAAAUUCCAUAGAAGGUGUAGUGCCCACCCGGAGUCUCAUGAAGCCGUCACCACCCCAGCCGAAAAGGGGGGCGUGGAGAACCCUCUAGAGAGCUGGAGGGCUAUGUCAGGGAAGACCCCUUCAGAAGAAAGAGGGGUGAUAGGACAUCAGGAUAAGGGAGUAAAUGCCUUGCGCUCCAGCUUCUCCCUGCCUGCCAGUGGCCCCAGAAACCAGUGAGCGUGGCACGGUCAGCACCCCACUGCGUGAGGCACGGGCGUCAAGGGUGGAGAACUGAUCUGGAGAAACAGAGAGACAUCCGACCCAAAGAGGAGGAUGCUCCUGCGGCUUCAUAUUCACACAUUAGGGGUACAGCCACCCCUGCAUACAAAGAAGUGACCAUUGGUUUACAUCCUUCAGACAUUUUUCUAGGUCAUCACCUGGAUAGCAUAUGCCGUCAUAACAGGUGCCGUUUUAGUGUAGGUGUGGGGUGGGCAUAAAUAGUAUGAUACACUGCAUAUUGUUAAACAAGCUGUUUUUUCACCCAAUAAUAAGUCUUAGGCUGUUUCUGUCUCAGCUCACGUAGAGCUAACACAUUAUUUUAACCCCUUGCAAGAUAUUCUCCAGUGUAGCCCAUGGGAAAGCUGUUUUCUAACAUCCUGCUUCUUGCUCUCGCCGUUUGGGGCCCUGGUAGGCCUGCAGUUCCCCACUCUACUAAACUCGAAAGUACCAGUGCAGUUUCCUUUGGGCAAGGACAUACGCACCAGUCACAAGUGUCCCUUCCAGGGAAAAGCUUUAAGAGCCCACAAAAGCAUCGUCAUCUCUCUCUUUUCCUCUGCCCGGGACUUGGGAUAUUUUAGACCAGUGUUGUCCAAUAAAAAUCUAAUACAAGCUGCUCUGUACUUGAAAUUUUCUAGAAGCCACAUUUUAAAAAAAUGUUUUAAAUGGAUAAAAUUAAUUUUGAUAAUGUUAUUUAUCUAGUAUAUUCAAACUAUUAUCAUUUCACCAGUGCAAUCAAGAUUAAACAUGAUGGGGUUCCCAUCAUGCCUCAGCAGAAACGAACCUGACUAGCAUCCAUGAGGACUCAAGUUCAAUCCCCGGCCUUGCUCAGUAAGUUAAGGAUCGGGCAUUGCUGUGAGCUGUGGUGUAGGUCACAGACGCGGCUUGGAUCUUGCAUUACUGUGGCUGUGGCACAGGCCAGCAGCUACACUCCGAUUCAGCCCCUAGCCUGGGAACCUCCAUAUGCUGCAGGUGUGGUCCUAAAAAGCAAAAAAAAGAAAAAAAAAAGAAAAA